UACGGAGGGUGCAAGCGUUAUCCGGAUUCACUGGGUUUAAAGGGUGCGUAGGUGGGUUGGUAAGUCAGUGGUGAAAUCUCCAGGCUUAACUUGGAAACUGCCAUUGAUACUAUCAAUCUUGAAUACCGUGGAGGUCAGCGGAAUAUGUCAUGUAGCGGUGAAAUGCUUAGAUAUGACAUAGAACACCGAUUGCGAAGGCAGCUCACUACACGAAUAUUGACGCUGAGGCACGAAAGCGUGGGGAUCAAACAGG
rnacentral:rRNA from 1 species